AUAUUUAUAUAUUCGAGAGUAGACAAUGCAUAGAUGAUACUAAAUUGAUCGCAAGAAUUCUUUUUGGAAAACACAAUAUAACUAGUAUAGUAUACAAAGAACUUUUCAAAAAUUUAUGAAAAUGUUUAAGCCCGCAUCGCGGGCAAAACACCUAGUUACUUUUAUUACAAAACUAUAUUAGUCAUUAGAUGAUAUAUUAUUAAUAAAUUAUAUAACUACUUAAAAUCCUAAUUAUUUUUAAAGGAGAUAUUUUUUUUUUGGUUCUCCCAAUCUCCAAUGUACCACCUUUACUCUGUUACUUUAUUUUUCUGUAGAUCUUUAUAAUUAUUUAAAAAAUUCAAAAAUCUUAAAGCAAAAUAUCAUAAACUAUGUUCUGAUAUUCUGUGAGACAUUUCUCAAAUGAAAUUGGUGUUAAUAUUUUUUUUAAAACUAAUUGGUGUUAAUUUUAAGGUGAUUUUGAUCAUAUGUAUUGCUAUAAUAUACAAUUUUUGUUAUAAAAAUGCUAAAAUAGAACUAAGAAUCAAUUAAUUGAAUUGUCAAUGGAAUAAUAAUUCAAGCUCACAGCAACAUGGUUAUUCAAAAUUGAUCAAAUGAUUUUGCAAGAAUUGUUUGUGUGUUUAUAUUUAUUUUUGUAUACUAAUUAAGUUCUAAUAAUAUGUAGUUGAUUAUAUAUUAAAAAUACAGUAAAUUAGUUAUAUUUAUGGAGCAUAAUUUUAUGGUUGUGCUUUAGGCGCCAAAUUGAUCCGGACCGGCACUGAUUAGUGAUGUCAUUUCUCUCGCUAGUUCCAAUGUCAUUGAGAAUUAUAUAAUCGUUGAUUUACUAAAACCAGAAUUGCAAUGCUUCAAAUAUUAUAUAGCCCACUUCAAGCAUGGUUAUCUUUGUAUAUAAAAUACAGUUUGAAUCACUCCCAGGGUGUACACAUCAGAUGCCAGCGCAACAAUUCAAGUGAUGUCCGGCCGACACCUGUCUUAAAUGAAACGCAGCGUAUCAAGCUUUUGUGCAUACCCUCUGUUACCAGAAAACCAAAAAGGUAUCAAAGGUGGAAGUAGGAACAAAGGUCUACGUACGCAUCACUUGACGAGUGGCUCGAGGGACAUUUGGCAAAGAUAUUGCAAGAAAAUCAAAGAUCAAGAAGAAGUGAGAAAAAAAGAGAGCUUUUUAAGCUCCUUCACAGUUCUUAUAGACUUUAAGCUUUUUGGCAUUUUGAAAGAGUUUUGGAUUUCCGUCUUGAGGAAGUUUAGUAUAGAUGUUACUCUCUCUUUUUCUUAUGAAGGUUCUGCUUCAGUCACAGUAAUAAUGCUCAGAGUAAAUAAGUGGCUGCUUCAGUCCAAUUUCUCCGUAUUAUGUUUUAUUCUCUGUUAUGUCCUCUGUUUCUUUUUUGCCUUUGUUAUAUGUGUGUGUGUUCUUGAAAGAUCUAUGCAGAAUCAAAAACUAUCUUUUCUAAUCUACAAGCUAAUAAAAAAGAUUAGUUACUUAUUUAAUA